GACAGCAGCCGCCGCGGGAAUACGGAGGGUGCAAGCGUUAUCCGGAUUUAUUGGGUUUAAAGGGUCCGUAGGCGGACUUAUAAGUCAGUGGUGAAAGCCUGUCGCUUAACGAUAGAACUGCCAUUGAUACUGUAAGUCUUGAGUAUAUUUGAGGUAGCUGGAAUAAGUAGUGUAGCGGUGAAAUGCAUAGAUAUUACUUAGAACACCAAUUGCGAAGGCAGGUUACCAAGAUAUAACUGACGCUGAGGGACGAAAGCGUGGGUAGCGAACAGGAUUAGAUACCCCAGUAGUCCCUGUCUCUUAUAA
rnacentral:rRNA from 1 species